rnacentral:rRNA from 1 species
GAUGAACGCUGGCGGCGUGCCUAAUACAUGCAAGUCGAGCGAACAGAUGAGGAGCUUGCUCCUCUGACGUUAGCGGCGGACGGGUGAGUAACACGUGGAUAACCUACCUAUAAGACUGGGAUAACUUCGGGAAACCGGAGCUAAUACCGGAUAAUAUAUUGAACCGCAUGGUUCAAUAGUGAAAGACGGUUUUGCUGUCACUUAUAGAUGGAUCCGCGCCGCAUUAGCUAGUUGGUAAGGUAACGGCUUACCAAGGCAACGAUGCGUAGCCGACCUGAGAGGGUGAACGGCCACACUGGAACUGAGACGCGGUCCAGACUCCUACGGGAGGAAGCAGUAGGGAAUCUUCCGCAAGGGGCGAAAGCCGGACGGAGCAACGCCGCGUGAGUGAUGAAGGUCUUCGGAUCGUAAAACUCUGUUAUUAGGGAAGAACAAAUGUGUAAGUAACUAUGCACGUCUUGACGGUACCUAAUCAGAAAGCCACGGCUAACUACGUG